rnacentral:rRNA from 1 species
GACGAACCGUGCGAACGUUGUUCGGAAUCACUGGGCUUAAAGGGCGCGUAGGCGGUCUCCCAAGUCCGGGGUGAAAUCUUUCGGCCUAACCGGAAAAGGGCCUUGGAUACUGGGGGACUCGAGGGGGUAGGGGCAAGCGGAACUUCCGGUGGAGCGGUGAAAUGCGUUGAUAUCGGAAGGAACGCCGGCGGCGAAAGCGGCUUGCUGGACCCCAUCUGACGCUGAGGCGCGACAGCGUGGGGAGCAAACAGG